ACAAGGUGAUGAAUUGUCAUGCUAAUACCGAGAAUGCUUUAGGCAUUUGCUGAGUUAAACUAACUUCUCAUUGUUAACAUCUGAAUCUA